UACAGGGGGCUCGAGCGUUAGUCGGAAUCACUGGGCUUAAAGGGUGCGUAGGUGGCUCGUCAAGUGUUUUGUGAAAUCCCACAGCUCAACUGUGGAACAGCAGGGCAAACUGACGAGCUUGAGGCAGGUAGGGGCUGGAAGAACAGUUGGUGGAGCGGUGAAAUGCGUAGAUAUCAACUGGAAUGCCGAUGGGGAAGCCGUCCAGCUGGGCCUGUCCUGACACUGAGGCACGAAAGCGUGGGGAGCAAACAGG
rnacentral:rRNA from 1 species